rnacentral:rRNA from 1 species
UCAAAGUUCCGGCGGUCCGAUGGUCCUGGCCUUCGCUGUUGUAGUACGCACAGGCACGACGUAGCCGGCUGAAGGCGACGCCACACUGGGACUGAGACCUCAGACUCUACGGAGGCAGCAGUGGGAUAUGCACAAUGGCGCAGCUGAUGCAGCGACGCGCGUGAGGGAUGACGGCUUCGGGUUGUAAACUCUUCAGCAGGGAAGAAGCGCGAGUGACGGUACCUGCAGAAGAAGCGCGGCUAACUACGUGCCAGCAGCCGCGGUAAUACGUAGGGCGCGAGCGUUGUCCGGAAUUAUUGGGCGUAAAGAGCUCGUAGGCGGCCUGUCGCGUCGGUUGUGAAAGCCCGGGGCUCAACCCCGGGUCUGCAGUCGAUACGGGCAGGCUAGAGUUCGGUAGGGGAGAUCGGAAUUCCUGGUGUAGCGGUGAAAUGCGCAGAUAUCAGGAGGAACACCGGUGGCGAAGGCGGAUCUCUGGGCCGACACUGACGCUGAGGAGCGAAAGCGUGGGGAGCGAACAGGAUUAGAUACCCUGGUAGUCCACGCCGUAAACGGUGGGCACUAGGUGUGGGCGACAUUCCACGUCGUCCGUGCCGCAGCUAACGCAUUAAGUGCCCCGCCUGGGGAGUACGGCCGCAAGGCUAAAACUCAAAGGAAUUGACGGGGGCCCGCACAAGCGGCGGAGCAUGUGGCUUAAUUCGACGCAACGCGAAGAACCUUACCAAGGCUUGACAUACACCGGAAAACCGUGGAGACACGGUCCCCCUUGUGGUCGGUGUACAGGUGGUGCAUGGCUGUCGUCAGCUCGUGUCGUGAGAUGUUGGGUUAAGUCCCGCAACGAGCGCAACCCUUGUCCCGUGUUGCCAGCAGGCCCCUUCGGGGGUGCUGGGGACUCACGGGAGACCGCCGGGGUCAACUCGGAGGAAGGUGGGGACGACGUCAAGUCAUCAUGCCCCUUAUGUCUUGGGCUGCACACGUGCUACAAUGGCCGGUACAAUGAGCUGCGAUACCGCGAGGUGGAGCGAAUCUCAAAAAGCCGGUCUCAGUUCGGAUUGGGGUCUGCAACUCGACCCCAUGAAGUCGGAGUCGCUAGUAAUCGCAGAUCAGCACUGCUGCGGUGAAUACGUUCCCGGGCCUUGUACACACCGCCCGUCACAUCACGA